rnacentral:rRNA from 1 species
UACGGAGGGUGCAAGCGUUAAUCGGAAUUACUGGGCGUAAAGCGUGCGCAGGCGGUUUUGUAAGUCUGUCGUGAAAGCCCCGGGCUCAACCUGGGAAUUGCGAUGGAGACUGCAAGGCUUGAAUCUGGCAGAGGGGGGUAGAAUUCCACGUGUAGCAGUGAAAUGCGUAGAGAUGUGGAGGAACACCGAUGGCGAAGGCAGCCCCCUGGGUCAAGAUUGACGCUCAUGCACGAAAGCGUGGGGAGCAAACAGG